CCAGCUCUCCCAAGUGGAGUUCAAAUCGGUGUGGGUUUCGAGCAAUUUGUGCUUUAAUAACAUGAGCCAUACUGGGCAGCCAGCGAAAAAGAAGAAAGUGUGAAAUAAAAGAAACAAAGAGACAGAGUAAGAGACAUAUAGUGUAAGAGAGAGAGAGAGAGAGAGAGAGAGAGAGAGAGAGAGAGAGAGAAAGCGCAGUGCUGUUGUACAUCAAUGCUAUAGGCUAGUGAUGGGGAACCCUGCCAAUGGGGGAGAAUUACAGUGUUUGUCCAGCCCUUGGUCUGCCAUGCCUUCACUGGGGAAGAGUUUACUGGGUGCAAAACAAGGCAAUGGUCAGGGAUCGGGCGUAUGUUUUUUUGGAGUGGAAAAUGUCACUCUGACAAGAGUCUGUGACAACAGUAGACGAUAGUCGCGCGCUAUUGUUGUGCGCCGUUGGCCCUCCAUUCUCUGUGUGAAUGUGUCGGGCCAGCCUCUGAGGGAACUGCGAUCCGCCCAUUGUCCUACCACACAGAUUACCACAUGAACAGGAAGAUCCUUGGCGCUGACGGCAGCCAGCGGCAGGCCCCCGCUAAAUCCCCAAGACAGGAGACUCAUUGUGGAGGGAAUGGCGGACGGGUCGGUCAACUACCAUGGGACGGACGAUUAGCAUGACAAUACGGCCCAUGCGGCGUUUUAUGUCUGUACGACGCAUACGAGUCGGAGGAGAGGGAUACCACAGGAAGCAGCCGGCAGACGCAGGAGGCGAGCAUUGGGAUAGUCGACACGACUUUCUGAGAGCACAGAACUGCAGCCAUAUCUAACCGUGCUGCUAGUCACGUAUUACUGCUAUGUCCCUGUUAGUCCUAGCAUUAAAUGACCUAUUCCAUUAGUCCACAAGAGUUCUGACUGUGCUUGAUGCGAAUGUGUCUAGUACCCACAACAACAUAUCCUUCACCCAGAUUAACACGUAUGCAUGAAUGACUAAGUCGCUUUGGAUAAAAGCGGCUGCUAAAAUGGCAUAUUCAGUGGCAAGAAAAAGUAUGUGAAACCUUUGGAAUUACCUGGAUUUCUACAUAAAUUGGGACCUAACAUUUGAUCUAAUCUUCAUCUAAGUAACAACAAUAGACAAACGCAAUCUGCUUAAACUAACACACAAACAAUUAUACGUGUUCAUGUCUUUAAAUCAAAUUGUAUUUGUCACAUACACAUGGUUAGCAGAUGUUAGUGCAAAGUGGCAUUGUUUAAAGUAACUUGUAAUACAUAUAGUACAUCCAAUGUUUUAUUGUUAAAGUGGCUAGAGAUUUGAGUC